GGGCCCGUGGGGUAGCUUGGCAUCCUUCCAGCCUGGGGCGCUGGUAACUCGGGUUCGAAUCCCGGCGGGCCCA
rnacentral:tRNA from 1 species